rnacentral:tmRNA from 1 species
GGGGGCGAAAUGGCUUCGACGGGGAUUUUUGAAGCUAUGGUAGCAUGUCGAGUGCCGCAGACUCGUUAAACGGCGGAAACAAAAUAAUCGCAGACGAUUAUAAUUACGCCGUAGCAGCGUAGAGCUGCUACCGUCCUGCUGAGUUCCUUCCGCAAAUUCAGUAAAGGGCGUCGACUCGCGGAACAGCCGUUUAUGGGUGCCUGUAUCAUAAUCGGUUAAACUUACAGGAUAAGCCGUCAGGUAUCCUGCCCGAAGGAGACCAGAUAGAUGAAAAUUAAAGUUUGGGAUAAACAUGUAGAAUCCAUUGUGGAUUGUUUUCGGACGCGGGUUCAACUCCCGCCGCCUCCACCA